rnacentral:rRNA from 1 species
GACGAACGCUGGCGGCAUGCCUAAUACAUGCAAGUCGAGCGAACAGAUGAAGUGCUUGCACUUCUGACGUUAGCGGCGAACGGGUGAGUAACACGUAAGGAAUCUACCUAUAAGCGGGGGAUAACAUUCGGAAACGGGUGCUAAUACCGCAUAAUAUCUUCUUCCGCAUGGAAGAAGAUUGAAAGACGGCUCUGCUGUCACUUAUAGAUGACCUUGCGGUGCAUUAGUUAGGUGGUGGGGUAAUGUCCUACCAAGACAAUGAUGCAUAGCCGACCGGUGGGGGUGAUCGGCCACCUUGGGACCGGGACACGGCCCAAACUCCUACGGGAGGCAGCAGUAGGGAAUCUUCCGCAAUGGGCGAAAGCCUGACGGAGCAAUGCCGCGUGAGUGAAGAAGGCCUUCGGGUCGUAAACCUCUGUUAUAAGAGAAGAACAAAUUGUAGAGUAACUGCUACAGUCUUGACGGUAUCUUAUCAGAAAGCCACGGCUAACUACGUGCCAGCCGCCGCGGUAA